rnacentral:rRNA from 1 species
AACCUCCGCAAUGUGAGAAAUCGCGACGGGGGGAUCCCAAGUGCCAUUCUUAACGGGAUGGCUUUUCAUUAGUGUAAAGAGCUUUUGGAAUAAGAGCUGGGCAAGACCGGUGCCAGCCGCCGCGGUAACACCGGCAGCUCUAGUGGUAGCUGUUUUUAUUGGGCCUAAAGCGUUCGUAGCCGGUUUGAUAAGUCACUGGUGAAAUCCUGUAGCUUAACUGUGGGAAUUGCUGGUGAUACUGUUGAACUUGAGGUCGGGAGAGGUUAGCGGUACUCCCAGGGUAGAGGUGAAAUUCUGUAAUCCUGGGAGGACCACCUGUGGCGAAGGCGGCUAACUGGAACGAACCUGACGGUGAGGGACGAAAGCUAGGGGCGCGAACCGGAUUAGAUACCCGGGUAGUCCUAGCCGUAAACGAUGCGGACUUGGUGUUGGGAUGGCUUUGAGCCGCUCCGGUGCCGAAGGGAAGCUGUUAAGUCCGCCGCCUGGGAAGUACGGUCGCAAGACUGAAACUUAAAGGAAUU